CUGCUGCCGCUUUCGAUCCCCAACAGUGGAACAACCCUUCAUCCAAUCCGCUGCAAUGUUCGGUUCUUCCCCUAAACGCUCGUUCCCGAUCCCAAAUCCUCUCCCAGGGCGCGAUUUUUCGUUGGAUUCUUGAUGGGAUCCGAUGUGCUGUAGCUAGGGUUUCCCACCCCCCAUGGCGUCUGAGAACGGCAUCGCCUCCGGGAUGGUCUUCCAGGGCGAGUCCUUCCCUUUCUCCCGCGGCGACGGGGAGCCGUCGGGUCAGCGAACCGUGAGGCCUGCCGGGUUCCCCGGCGCAGACGGCGAUAAGAUUUUCUCCGGCGAACGCGACGCUCGAUUUUACCGUGACCUACACCGCCCCCCUCCGCCGGGUCAGAGCUGGGGCGGCUUGGUGGACGGCGGGUCGCAUAGCGGCGACGGGCCCCACGGCGAGGAUGAAGAGGACGACGAGGAAGAUGGCGAUGAUGACGACGAGGAUGUUGAUGACGGAGAUGGCUUGGUGUCCUUGGAAGAAGGUAACAAUAAGGUUAACUACAAUAGUAGCGGUAGUGUACAGAGUAGCUCGGAGAAGAUCUGCGAUGAGCGGGCCAUUUCGCAGGAGCAUCACUCAUCUUUUGGAUCUAGUAGAGGAGUCUUGCUGAAGGAUGGACUUGGAGGGAGAGGGGGCUUGGUGGAGCAACAAUACCAGGAGGGCCGGAUGGAUGGCUGCGAGAAUGCUGUUGUGGUCAUGGAACCUGAGCCAUAUUUCACUCAUGUUUUACAUGGGGCAGAUGAGUCCUCUCAUCAUAAGGAGCUCAGAGGGGAGAAUGGUUGUGGGUUCAAUGGAAGAAGGGAGGUCGGGUUAGCUGCUGGGUACUGGGAGACUUUGAGGACACAACUAUCAGAUCCUAUAACGGGAACUCUCAUGGAUGAUGCAAUGAUACUGUCAUGUGGGCAUUCUUUUGGAAGUAGUGGAAUGCAACAUGUUUAUAAAAUGAAAGCUUGUUACACAUGUACUCAGCCUAUAUCAGAAUACUCUGUCCGACCAAACUUGACUCUUCGUGCCACUGUUCAGGCAUUCCGCAGGGAAGAUGAAUUGCAUUUGUUUAAAGCAACCAAGAGAAAAAGAGAGAGGUUUGAGCAGGAAAAGUGCAAUCACAAUGAUUCUUUUUCCAUGGAUCUUUCUCGUGGUAAAGGUGUUCAAUUUCCAUUUGCUGUAUCUGACAAGGUUAUUAUCAAGGGGAACAAGAGGACUCCACAAAGGUUUGUUGGUCGUGUAGCAGUUGUGACAACGCAGUGCUUGAAUGGAUGUUGUCAUAUACAGGUAUGUCGUGAAGACAUUGGACAAUGCUGAGAGUGUCAAAUUGCAGUAUCGGUCGUUAGAAAAGCUUGUGGAUGAUCAAGGUCCCCAUAUUAUCUCGGACAAAGCUCAGACCCCAAACUGGCUGUAAAAGGCUAUAAGUACACUGGAUAAGCUUUCUUGCAGGCUUAGCAAGUGUUUUCUGAGGUUGGGCUCCGUAACUCAUGUAAUUAUUUCUGCCAGAGGAAUCCCACAGGAAGCCUUUACAACAAGCUCACAUAUUAUGUAUCUGACUGAUUAGGUGAUUGAGUUCUGCAAUUGGGUAGACAUCAUCCAAUUUGGUCAGAAGCAUCUCUAUGAUGGGUUUUACUGCAUCGCUGCUCAUGAAUCUUUUUGUAGCUACAUUUUAACGUGAGACAAGAAUACAUGAUUCGCCAACACUGCAGUGGCUCAAGAAGCUGUUAUACCAAGAGAAUUGUGUACUUUGGAAUGUAAAUGUAUGAAGUUCUGUGAUCUGUUGGAAUUUCUAUUUCUACCGCCCUACAACCAUCUUGUAUUUGGUGGGUUGUAACGUUGUAAUUUCAAUGAACUCAUGUGUUGGUUAUUCCUCGAGUUUGGGUGGCACAUUUUCUUAGUUUAUGAGUUUUGUAUGGUGAAGAUCAUAGACUUGUUGUAUCAACCCCAAUUUGAGCUAUAAGAAGCAAAUAUAGAAACUUGUUCAUGCU